rnacentral:rRNA from 1 species
UCCGUAGGGUGCAAGCGUUGUCCGGAAUUAUUGGGCGUAAAGAGCUCGUAGGCGGUUUGUCGCGUCUGCUGUGAAAACCCGAGGCUCAACCUCGGGCCUGCAGUGGGUACGGGCAGACUAGAGUGCGGUAGGGGAGAUUGGAAUUCCUGGUGUAGCGGUGGAAUGCGCAGAUAUCAGGAGGAACACCAAUGGCGAAGGCAGAUCUCUGGGCCGUAACUGACGCUGAGGAGCGAAAGCAUGGGGAGCGAACAGG